GUCCACGCUGUAAACGAUGAGUGCUAGGCGUUGGGGGGUAUUGACCCCCCCAGUGCCGCAGCUAACGCGUUAAGCACUCCGCCUGGGGAGUACGGCCGCAAGGCUAAAACUCAAAGGAAUUGACGGGGGCCCGCACAAGCGGUGGAGCAUGUGGUUUAAUUCGACGCAACGCGAAGAACCUUACCUGGGUUAAAUCCACCGGAAUCUUCUGGAGACAGAGGAGUGCACUUCGGGGAACCGGUGAGAAGGUGCUGCAUGGCUGUCGU
rnacentral:rRNA from 1 species